UACGGCCAUAUCAUAUUGAAACACAGGCUCUCGUCCAUUCACUGGAGUUAAGCAACGUUGAAUCUGGUUUGUACCCAGAUGGGUUAUCGCUCGGGAGUAUCAGGUGCUGUAAA